rnacentral:lncRNA from 1 species
CUCUCUCUCCCUCCGUGAGCCUCCCAUAGCAGUAGAACGACUGGAGGAGGUCGUCUUCCCCAACUCCGACAACCACGGCCACCGCAUCUGUCUCGUUCAUUCCGACGACACCAGGGCCUCCCCCUCUCCACUCUCUUCACCACUAGCCUCCUGGACCUCCCUCUGAUCCACUUCCCCUUCCAAUUUGGCCUGGGAGCCGCCGGAGGAAAGAGCCCCACCCUGCCCGACAGCCACCGUCCGUUGUGGAGCUCGCCGGCGGCGACUCCGUACACCCCAGGGACGAUGGCAACCACCGGAGGGACCGCCUCGACCCCCUGAGCCCGCGGACGGCCUUGGUUUCUCGAACGGUGCCGCUGUUUGCCGGCGAGCCUCAUCGGAGCCCCGCCUCUGUUCUGCCGAAGAGGGAAGCGCGUGCGGCGACUGGUCAAAAUCGACCAGUGGGCCAGGCGGGCCCACUGUCAGUGUCCCAGCGCCGCUGACCCGCCCGUAAGAGGAGGCGAACUCCGUUUAGCCGCCUUCGCGCGUGUAAGACGUACCAGGCGAUUACGCCUUCAACGUCAUCAACUCUUCCUCGCGGCUGAGCAGCUGGGCUCGGCCCAGUAACGCCAGACAGCUAAACGUUGCCCAGGGUACAUCUUUGCACUUUCAUAUUUUCUUUUCCAGCGGAUUUCAAAUAAAUCCACAGCAGCCAUUUCGCAUUCAAAUUCGAUGAUUCAAAUUUCUACCUACUCCUAAAAUCAUGCUCUAUUGAUCCAGAUAGGGUGAACAUUUUUCCUAGGUCUUUUUUUUGUGGGAUCUACUGAAUAGUCCUUUUCCUUUAAUAUUCCAGCUUAGUAAAUCCAUAGAAAAAUCAUAUAAACUCCAAAUGACUUUAUUCUUUUUCUUUUAUUUCUCAAAUUCCAUCUAGUUUAUUUUAGUAUUUAUUUCACAAAUUUCCAAACAACGUUUAUGUACUGUUUUGGAAUUGUGUGGUAAUUAAAAUAUUUUGAAAAUAGGAAAUGGAGGGGAGAUAUAAUUUUCAAAGUUUUGGAGUGCACCCAAUCUUUCUGCAUGCUCAAGGCAAGCAUCUUGAACACGUGAUAUGGUGAAUGCAUAUUUGUUUGCUUGCAUGUAGAAUUGAAUUAUGAAUAUGUUGGAUUCAUGUAGAAUUUGCAAAGCACUAGUCAUACAUGCAUGAUCACUUUGAUGGUGUUUUAUCUUCAGUUAAACAUGAAGCAUAAGUGAGUAUGGUUAUUUUCAUGUGCAAUAUGUGCCUGUGUUGGUCCAGGCUAAUUUGCAGGAAGAAUCAGUCACGAGAAAAGUGACCGUGAUACUGAAAUCUCGUUGUGACGAGAAUGAUCAGUGGGGGUAUGAUGAUGUUGGGCAACGUAGUAAUUUCAAAAAAUUUCCUACGCACACGCAAGAUCAUGGUGAUGCAUAGCAACGAGAGGGGAGAGUGUUGUCCACGUACCCUCGUAGACCGACAGUGGAAGCGUUAUCACAACGCGGUUGAUGUAGUCGUACGUCUUCACGAUCCGACCGAUCAAGUACCGAACGCACGGCAACUCCGAGUUCUGCACACGUUCAGCUCGAUGACGUCCCUCGAACUCCGAUCCAGCCGAGUGUUGAGGGAGAGUUUCGUCAGCACGACGGCGUGGUGACGAUGAUGAUGUUCCACCGAUGCAGGGCUUCGCCUAAGCUCCGCAACGGUAUUAUCGAGGUGUAAUAUGGUGGAGGGGGGCACCGCACACGGCUAAAAUAUCGUAUAUCAAGUGUGUAUAAAGGUGCCCCCCUGCCCCCGUAUAUAAAGGAGCAAGGGGGAGGCCGGCUGCCCUAGGCGCGCCAAGGAGAGGGGGGGGAGUCCUCCUCCUAGUAGGAGCAGGACUCCCCUUUCCUAGUCCAACUAGGAAAAGAAGGGGGAAGGAAAGAGAGGGAGAGGGAGAGGGAAAGGGGGCUGUGCCCCCCUCUCCUAGUCCAACUAGGAUUCCUCCUAGGAGGGGGCGCACCACCUCCUGGCUGCUGCCCUCUCUCUCCCCUCAAGGCCCACUAAGGCCCAAUACUUCCCCGGGGGGUUCCGGUAACCCUCCGGCACUCCGGUUUAAUCCGAAACUUCUCCGAAACACUUCCGGUGUCCGAAUAUAGUCGUCCAAUAUAACAAUCUUUAUGUCUCGACCAUUUCGAGACUCCUCGUCAUGUCCGUGAUCACAUCUGGGACUCCGAACAACCUUCGGUACAUCAAAACAUAUAAACUCAUAAUAUAACUGUCAUCGUAACGUUAAGCGUGCGGACCCAUCGGGUUCGAGAACUAUGUAGACAUGACCGAGACACCUCUCCGGUCAAUAACCAAUAGCGGAACCUGGAUGCUCAUAUUGGUUCCCACAUAUUCUAUGAAGAUCUUUAUCGGUCAAACCGCAUAACAACAUACGUUGUUCCCUUUGUCAUCGGUGUGUUACUUGCCCGAGAUUCGAUCGUCGGUAUCUCGAUACCUAGUUCAAUCUCGUUACCGGCAAGUCUCUUUACUCGUUCCAUAAUACAUCAUCCCGCAACUAUAUCAUUAGUCACAAUGCUUGCAAGGCUUAUAGUGAUGUGCAUCACCGAGUGGGCCCAGAGAUACCUCUCCGACAAUCGGAGUGACAAAUCCUAAUCUCGAAAUACGCCAACCCAACAAGUACCUUUGGAGACACCUGUAGAGCACCUUUAUAAUCACCCAUUUACGUUGUGACGUUUGGUAGCACACAAAGUGUUCCUCCGGUAAACGGGAGUUGCAUAAUCUCAUAGUCAUAGGAACAUGUAUAAGUUAUGAAGAAAGCAAUAGCAACAUACUAAACGAUCGGGUGCUAAGCUAACGGAAUGGGUCAUGUCAAUCACGUCAUUGUCCUAAUGAGGUGAUCCCGUUAAUCAAAUGACAACUCAUGUCUAUGGCUAGGAAACAUAACCAUCUUUGAUUAACAAGCUAGUCAAGUAGAGGCAUACUAGUGACACUCUGUUUGUCUAUGUAUUCACACAUGUAUUAUGUUUCCGGUUAAUACAAUUCUAGCAUCAAUAAUAAACAUUUAUCAUGAUAUAAGGAAAUAUAUAAUACUUUAUUAUUGCCUCUAGGGAAUAUUUCCUUCAGUCUCCCACUUGCACUAGAGUAAAUAAUCUAGAUUACAUAGUAAUGAUUCUUACACCCAUGGAGUCUUGGUGCUAAUCAUGUUUUGCUCGUGGAAGAGGCUUAGUCAACGGGUCUGCAACAUUCAGAUCCGUAUGUAUCUUGCAAAUUUCUAUGUCUCCCACCUGGACUAAAUCCCGGAUGGAAUCGAAGCGUCUUCUGAUGUGCUUGGUUCUCUUGUGAAAUCUGGAUUCCUUUGCUAAGGCAAUUGCACCAGUAUUGUCACAAAAGAUUUUCAUUGGUCCCGAUGUACUAGGUAUGACACCUAGAUCGGAUAUGAACUCCUUCAUCCAGACUCCUUCAUUUGCUGCUUCCGAAGCAGCUAUGUAUUCCGCUUCACACGUAGAUCCCGCCAUGACACUUUGCUUAGAACUGCACCAACUGAUAGCUCCACCGUUCAAUGUAAAUACGUAUCCGGUUUGCGAUUUCGAAUCGUCCGGAUCAGUGUCAAAGCUUGCAUCAACGUAACCACUUACGAUGAGCUCUUUGUCACCUCCAUAAACGAGAAACAUAUCCUUAGUCCUUUUCAGGUAUUUCAGGAUGUUCUUGACCGCUGUCCAGUGAUCCACUCCUGGAUUACUUUGGUACCUUCCUGCUAAACUUAUAGCAAGGGACACAUCAGGUCUGGUACACAGCAUUGCAUACAUGAUAGAGCCUAUGGCUGAAGCAUAGGGAACAUCUUUCAUCUUCUCUCUAUCUUCUGCAGUGGUCGGGCAUUGAGUCUUACUCAAUCUCACACCUUGUAGUACAGGCAAGAACCCUUUCUUUGCUUGAUCCAUUUUGAACUUCUUCAAAACUUUGUCAAGGUAUGUGCUUUGUGAAAGUCCAAUUAAGCGUCUGGAUCUAUCUCUAUAGAUCUUAAUGCCUAAUAUAUAUGCAGCUUCACCGAGGUCUUUCAUUGAAAAACUCUUAUUCAAGUAUCCCUUUAUGCUAUCCAGAAAUUCUAUAUCAUUUCCAAUCAGUAAUAUGUCAUCCACAUAUAAUAUCAGAAAUGCUAUCGAGCUCCCACUCACUUUCUUGUAAAUACAGGCUUCUCCAAAAGUCUGUAUAAAACCAAAUGCUUUGAUCACACUAUCAAAGCGUUUAUUCCAACUCCGAGAGGCUUGCACCAGUCCAUAAAUGGAUCGCUGGAGCUUGCACACUUUGUUAGCUCCCUUUGGAUCGACAAAACCUUCCGGUUGCAUCAUAUACAACUCUUCUUCCAGAAAUCCAUUCAGGAAUGCAGUUUUGACAUCCAUUUGCCAAAUUUCAUAAUCGUAAAAUGCGGCAAUUGCUAACAUGAUUCGGACAGACUUAAGCAUCGCUACGGGUGAGAAGGUCUCAUCGUAGUCAAUCCCUUGAACUUGUCGAAAACCUUUCGCAACAAGUCGAGCUUUAUAGACAGUAACAUUACCAUCAGCGUUAGUCUUCUUCUUGAAGAUCCAUUUAUUUUCAAUGGAUUGCCGACCAUCGGGCAAGUCAACCAAAGUCCAUACUUUGUUCUCAUACAUGGAUCCCAUCUCGGAUUUCAUGGCUUCAAGCCAUUUUGCAGAAUCUGGGCUCACCAUCGCUUCUUCAUAGUUCGUAGGUUCGUCAUGGUCUAGUAACAUGACCUCCAGAACAGGAUUGCCGUACCACUCUGGUGCGGAUCUUGAUCUAGUUGACCUACGAGGUUCAGUAAUAACUUGAUCUGAAGUUUCACGAUCAUUAUCAUUAACUUCCUCACUAAUUGGUGUAGGUGUCGCAGAAACUGAUUUCUGCGAUGAUCUACUUUCCAAUAAGGGGGCAGGUACAGUUACCUCAUCAAGUUCUACUUUCCUCCCACUCACAUCUUUCGAGAGAAACUCCUCCUCUAGAAAGGAUCCAUUCUUAGCAACGAAUAUCUUGCCUUCGGAUCUGUGAUAGAAGGUAUACCUAACAGUCUCCUUUGGGUAUCCUAUGAAGACACAUUUCUUCGAUUUAGGUUCGAGCUUAUCAGGUUGAAGUUUCUUCACAUAAGCAUCGCAACCCCAAACUUUAAGAUACGACAACUUUGGUUUCUUGCCAAACCAUAGUUCAUAAGGCGUCGUCUCAACGGAUUUCUAUGGUGUCCUAUUUAGAGUGAAUGCAGCCGUCUCUAAAGCAUAACCCCAAAACGAUAGCGGUAAAUCAGUAAGAGACAUCAUAGAUCGCACCAUAUCUAAUAAAGUACGAUUACGACGUUCGGACACACCAUUACGCUGUGGUGUUCCGGGCGGAGUGAGUUGCGAAACUAUUCCGCAUUGUUUCAAAUGUAGGCCAAACUCGUAACUCAAAUAUUCUCCUCCAUGAUCAGAUCGUAGGAAUUUUAUUUUCUUGUUACGAUGAUUUUCAACUUCACUCUGAAAUUCUUUGAACUUUUCAAAUGUUUCAGACUUAUGUUUUAUUAAGUAGAUAUACCCAUAUCUGCUCAAAUCAUCUGUGAAGGUGAGAAAAUAACGAUAUCCGCCACGAGCCUCAAUAUUCAUCGGACCACAUACAUCUGUAUGUAUGAUUUCCAACAAAUCUGUUGCUCUCUCCAUAGUUCCGGAGAAUGGUGUUUUGGUCAUCUUGCCUAUGAGGCACGGUUCGCAAGUACCAAGUGAUUCAAAAUCAAGUGAUUCCAAAAUUCCAUCAGUAUGGAGUUUCUUCAUGCGCUUUACACCGAUAUGACCCAAACGGCAGUGCCACAAAUAAGUUGCACUGUCAUUAUCAACUCUGCAUCUUUUGGCUUCGACAUUAUGAAUAUGUGUAUCACUACUAUCGAGAUUCAUUAAAAAUAGACCACUCUUCAAGGGUGCAUGACCAUAAAAGAUAUUAUUCAUAUAAAUAGAACAACCAUUAUUCUCUGAUUUAAAUGAAUAAUCGUCUCGCAUUAAACAAGAGCCAGAUAUAAUGUUCAUGCUCAACGCUGGCACCAAAUAAUAAUUAUUUAGGUCUAAAACCUAUCCCGAAGGUAGAUGUAGAGGUAGCGUGCCGACGGCGAUCACAUCGACUUUGGAACCAUUUCCCACGCGCAUCGUCACCUCAUCCUUAGCCAAUCUUCGCUUAAUCCGUAGCCCCUGUUUCGAGUUGCAAAUAUUAGCAACAGAACCAGUAUCAAAUACCCAGGUGCUACUGCGAGUAUUAGUAAGGUACACAUCAAUAACAUGUAUAUCACAUAUACCUUUGUUAACCUUGCCAUCCUUCUUAUCCGCCAAAUACUUGGGGCAGUUCCGCUUCCAGUGACCAGUCUGCUUACAGUAGAAGCACUCAGUUUCAGGCUUAGGUCCAGACUUGGAUUUCUUCUCCUGAACAGCAACUUGCUUGUUCUUCUUCUUGAAGUUCCCUUUCUUCUUCCCUUUGCCCUUUUUCUUGAAACUAGUGGUUUUACUGACCAUCAACACUUGAUGCUCCUUUUUGAUUUCUACCUCCGCUGCCUUUAGCAUUGCGAAGAGCUCGGGAAUUGUCUUAUCCAUCCCUUGCAUGUUAUAGUUCAUCACGAAGCUCUUGUAGCUUGGUGGCAGUGAUUGACGAAUUCUGUCAAUGACGCAAUCAUCCGGAAGUUGAACUCCCAGUUGAAUCAAGUGAUUAUUAUACCCAGACAUUCUGAGUAUAUGCUCACUGACAGAACUAUUCUCUUCCAUUUUGCAGCUAUAGAACUUAUUGGAGACUUCAUAUCUCUCAAUCCGGGCAUUUGCUUGAAAUAUUAACUUCAACUCCUGGAACGUCUCAUAUGCUCCAUGACGUUCAAAACGUCGUUGAAGACCCGGUUCUAAGCCGUAAAGCAUGGCACACUGAACUAUUGAGUAGUCAUCAGCUUUGCUCUGCCAGACGUUCAUAACUUCUGGUGUUGCUCUUGCAGGAGGCCUGGCACCUAGCGGUGCUUCCAGGACGUAAUUCUUCUAUGCAACAAUGAGGAUAAUCCUCAAAUUACGGACCCAGUCCGUGUAAUUGCUACCAUCAUCUUUCAACUUAGCUUUCUCAAGGAACGCAUUAAAAUUCAACGGAACAACAGCACGGGCCAUUUAUCUACAAUUAACAUAGACAAAGCAAGAUACUAUCAGGUACUAAGUUCAUGAUAAAUUUAAGUUCAAUUAAUCAUAUUACUUAAGAACUCCCACUUAGAUAGAUAUCCCUCUAAUCAUCUAAGUGAUUACGUGAUCCAAAUCAACUAAACCAUGUCCGAUCAUCACGUGAGAUGGAGUAGUUUCAAUGGUGAACAUCACUAUGUUGAUCAUAUCUACUAUAUGAUUCACGCUCGACCUUUAGGUCUCCGUGUUCCGAGGCCAUAUCUGCAUAUGCUAGGCUCGUCAAGUUUAACCUGAGUAUUCCGCGUGUGCAACUGUUUUGCACCCGUUGUAUUUGAACGUAGAGCCUAUCACACCCGAUCAUCACGUGGUGUCUCAGCACGAAGAACUUUCGCAACGGUGCAUACUCAGGGAGAACACUUUUAUCUUGAAAUUUUAGUGAGAGAUCAUCUUAUAAUGCUACCGUCAAUCAAAGCAAGAUAAGAUGCAUAAAGGAUUAACAUCACAUGCAAUCAAUAUAAGUGAUAUGAUAUGGCCAUCAUCAUCUUGUGCUUGUGAUCUCCAUCUCCGAAGCACCGUGUUCGUGAUCUCCAUCUCCGAAGCACCGUCAUGAUCACCAUCGUCACCGGCGCGACACCUUGAUCUCCAUCAUAGUAUCGUUGUCGUCUCGCCAACUAAUUGCUUUUACGACUAUCGCUACCGCUUAGUGAUAAAGUAAAACUAUUACAUGGUGAUUGCAUCUCAUACAAUAAAGCGACAACCAUAUGGCUCCUGCCAAUUGCCGAUAACUCGGUUACAAAACAUGAUCAUCUCAUACAACAAAUUAUAUCACAUCAUGUCUUGACCAUAUCACAUCACAACAUGCCCUGCAAAAACAAGUUAGACGUCCUCUACUUUGUUGUUGCAAGUUUUACGUGGCUGCUACGGGCUUAGCAAGAACCGUUCUUACCUACGCAUCAAAACCACAACGAUAGUUUGUCAAGUUGGUGCUGUUUUAACCUUCGCAAGGACCGGGCGUAGCCACACUCGGUUCAACUAAAGUGAGAGAGACAGACACCCGCCGGUCACCUUUAAGCAACGAGUGCUCGCAACGGUGAAACCAGUCUCGCGUAAGCGUACGCGUAAUGUCGGUCCGGGCCGCUUCAUCUCACAAUACCGCUGAACCAAAGUAUGACAUGCUGGUAAGCAGUAUGACUUAUAUCGCCCACAAAUCACUUGUGUUCUACUCGUGCAUAGCAUCAACGCAUAAAACCAGGCUCGGAUGCCACUGUUGGGCAACGUAGUAAUUUCAAAAUUUUCCUACGCACACGCAAGAUCAUGGUGAUGCAUAGCAACGAGAGGGGAGAGUGUUGUCCACGUACCCUCAUAGACCGACAGCGGAAGCGUUAUCACAACGCGGUUGAUGUAGUCGUACGUCUUCACGAUCCGACCGAUCAAGUACCGAACGCACGGCACCUCCGAGUUCUACACACGUUCAGCUCGGUGACGUCCCUCGAACUCCGAUCCAGCCGAGUGUUGAGGGAGAGUUUCGUCAGCACGACGACAUGGUGACGAUGAUGAUGUUCCACCGACGCAGGGCUUCGCCUAAGCUCCGCAACGGUAUUAUCGAGGUGUAAUAUGGUGGAGGGGGGCACCGCACACGGCUAAAAUAUCGUAUAUCAAGUGUGUAUAGAGGUGCCCCCUGCCCCCGUAUAUAAAGGAGCAAGGGGGAGGCCGGCUGCCCUAGGCGCGCCAAGGAGAGGGGGGGAGUCCUCCUCCUAGUAGGAGUAGGACUCCCCUUUCCUAGUCCAACUAGGAAAAGAAGGGGGAAGGAAAGAGAGGGAGAGGGAGAGGGAAAGGGGGCUGCGCCCCCCUCUCCUAGUCCAACUAGGAUUCCUCCUGGGAGGGGGCGCACCACCUCCUGGCUGCUGCCCUCUCUCUCCCCUCAAGGCCCACUAAGGCCCAAUACUUCCCCGGGGGGUUCCAGUAACCCUCCGGCACUCCGGUUUAAUCCGAAACUUCUCCGGAACACUUCCGGUGUCCGAAUAUAGUCGUCCAAUAUAUCAAUCUUUAUGUCUCGACCAUUUCGAGACUCCUCGUCAUGUCCGUGAUCACAUCUGGGACUCUGAACAACCUUCGGUACAUCAAAACAUAUAAACUCAUAAUAUAACUGUCAUCGUAACGUUAAGCGUGCGGACCCUUCGGGUUCGAGAACUAUGUAGACAUGACCGAGACACCUCUCCGGUCAAUAACCAAUAGCGGAACCUGGAUGCUCAUAUUGGUUCCCACAUAUUCUACGAAGAUCUUUAUCGGUCAAACCGCAUAACAACAUACGUUGUUCCCUUUGUCAUCGGUAUGUUACUUGCCCGAGAUUCGAUCGUCGGUAUCUCGAUACCUAGUUCAAUCUCGUUACCGGCAAGUCUCUUUACUCGUUCCAUAAUACAUCAUCCCGCAACUAUCUCAUUAGUCACAAUGCUUGCAAGGCUUAUAGUGAUGUGCAUUACCGAGUGGGCCCAGAGAUACCUCUCCGACAAUCGGAGUGACAAAUCCUAAUCUCGAAAUACGCCAACCCAACAAGUACCUUUGGAGACACCUGUAGAGCACCUUUAUAAUCACCCAUUUACGUUGUGAUGUUUGGUAGCACACAAAGUGUUCCUCCGGUAAACGGGAGUUGCAUAAUCUCAUAGUCAUAGGAACAUGUAUAAGUUAUGAAGAAAGCAAUAGCAACAUACUAAACGAUCGGGUGCUAAGCUAACGGAAUGGGUCAUGUCAAUCACGUCAUUCUCCUAAUGAGGUGAUCCCGUUAAUCAAAUGACAACUCAUGUCUAUGGCUAGGAAACAUAACCAUCUUUGAUUAACGAGCUAGUCAAGUAGAGGCAUGCUAGUGACACUCUGUUUGUCUAUGUAUUCACACAUGUAUUAUGUUUCCGGUUAAUACAAUUCUAGCAUGAAUAAUAAACAUUUAUCAUGAUAUAAGGAAAUAUAUAAUACUUUAUUAUUGCCUCUAGGGCAUAUUUCCUUCAGUUGAGACAUACCAGGUGGUGACCAUGUUGGGUAGUACCAAGGAGUUAUAUUGUGCUAACCACUGCAGGAAAAGUUAAACCUCCUGAGUUGACCGUAGAUCGAGUCUUGUUCCGGUAACCCCCAUACUGGUUCGUGCUACCACUUGUCCCCGCCACAGGCAGGGUACAGUUCAGUAAGUUUUUAACCCCUUUCCCUGCACACACCGUACAGAGAGGCCACGAUGAGGGUUUCCAGGUACCGGCUGCAAUGCCAGUCAGCGGGCCAAGGGGCAUGGGUGUAUCCGGCUGGGCCAAGUGGGGGCACACCUUGUAAUCCGCACGUGUUAAUAGUGAUCCCAUGCUACUCGAGACGAUGGUCACCCCGCCUUAGAGUUUCUCUUGAACAAUGCUUUGGGUGAUUCCUGGCAUCUGGAAAGUUAAUCUGGUGUGUGCUGGUCAGGUGUGUUUUCAUCCCAAAGACCGUAAUCGGAAUUAGUCAACGUCUCAGGUUUGACUACAGAAAUCCUUUACACGUGGGUAAAGAGUACACCCUCUGCAGAGUUAUAUCUAUUCGAAUAGCCGUGUCCAUGGUGAAGGACUAUAGUCUGGGUUGGUCAAGUGUCGGUCUUAGUGUCAGUCUCCGGAGGAAAUAAUUAAAUUGAUCAUGGUUCAUUCUACAGGAUAAUUAUUGUCACUACUGGUGCCAUUAUGAAUAUUUUUGUUGACAUGCAUACUGUUGUGGACUAACCUUUUCCUCUUAUGUGCAACUAUGAGUAUCUCUUGGGAUGGCUAGACUACCCGGGAUACUCGUUUUGUUUUCUUUUCUUUUAUGAGUAUCACUUGGGAUGGCUAGUCCACCUGGAUACUCGUUUUGUUAUUUUCAUAUAAGCCCUUUAUGAGGUGUCGCUUCAGACACCCGACUGUGGCAUGUAUUUUCAAGACCUCUCGUGGCGUCGCUUGAGUUCUUGGACGGUCCUGUCUCGCCCGAUUCUCUUUUAGACACCCAUUUGGCAUUUCUCUUGGAAUUUCUCGGGCGGUCCAACGGCCGACGUUCCGUUUCAUUUCUUUGAUUUAAUAUUAACAUGACUUAUUUAUCCUUCCGCACAGUAUGAAUAUUUGUCAUGCCAUGCUCUAAUUCUCAGUCAGCACAUGCAUGUAAUUUAAUUCGUCAUGAGCAUAUGCAUCCGGUAUAUCUUUUGUUCAUGAUGUUUGCGAGUACAUUCAAACGUACUCACUGGCUUGUCCCUGGCUAUUGUCUUGGCUAGAUCAUGACUCAGAGAAGAGCACUACGAAGACACCCCACAACCUAGGAUUCAGAGAUAGCAGCCAUGCGAGAUAGGAGUUAUCCAGGCUAGCUGUUCCGUGGGAAUGGAGUUCCAUCAAUGUUGGAGAUCCACGAGUCGCUUCCAUCAUCUGCCACCAGAAAUCAUUGUUGUACUCAAUGGACCUAUAAGGUCUUGUACUCAUAUUCUUGUAAUUGCUUGGAAUUCUGUAUCAAGGAAAUGUCCACCAGCAACAGUAAUCCUGGGGCUGGUGAUGACACAAGGGUCGUUUACUGGGAUUUAUGUCCUGGAAAUCCAACCCCUUACAUUCAAUCUCAUUACCGGCAAGUCUCUUUACUCAUUCUGUAAUGCAUCAUCCCACAACUAACUCAUUAGUGACAUUGCU